rnacentral:rRNA from 1 species
AUGGCUGCGGCGGCGGGGAGCGGCGGCGUGGUGAAGCACCUCGUCAUCGUGCAGUUCAAGGAGGACGUGACCCCGGAGCGGCUGGACGGGCUCAUCCGCGGCUACGCCGGCCUCGUCGACAAGGUCCCCUCCAUGAAGGCCUUCCACUGGGGAACCGAUGUGAGCAUAGAGAACAUGCAUCAGGGGUUCACGCACGUCUUCGAGUCCACCUUCGAAAGCACGGAGGGAGUCAAGGAGUACGUUUACCACCCAGCACACGUCGAGUUUGCAACUGAUUUCUUGGGUUCAACGGAGAAAGUCCUCAUAAUCGACUUCAAGCCGGCAGCGGUCAACUAA